AUUUAUAUAGUUUAAAGAAAACAUUUCAUUUUCAUUGAAAAAUUAAGUUUUACUUUAUAAAUA
rnacentral:tRNA from 1 species